rnacentral:tRNA from 1 species
GGAAUUUAGUCUAGUGGUAUGAUUCUCGUUUAGGGUACGAGAGGUCCCGGGUUCAAUUCCCGGAAUU